rnacentral:tRNA from 1 species
UUUAUAAUAAGCUAAGUAAAGCUAAUGGACUCAUACUUCAUUUAUAGAUUUUAUCUUAAUAAAA